UACGUAGGGUGCAAGCGUUGUCCGGAAUUAUUGGGCGUAAAGAGCUCGUAGGCGGUUUGUCGCGUCUGCUGUGAAAACUCGGGGCUUAACUCCGGGCCUGCAGUGGGUACGGGCAGACUGGAGUGCGGUAGGGGAGAAUGGAAUUCCUGGUGUAGCGGUGAAAUGCGCAGAUAUCAGGAGGAACACCGGUGGCGAAGGCGGGUCUCUGGGCCGAUACUGACGCUGAGGAGCGAAAGCGUGGGGAGCGAACAGG
rnacentral:rRNA from 1 species